AUCCAUCUGACGAGUCCUAGUAGGACGAAACGCGCGUUCUGGAU
rnacentral:hammerhead_ribozyme from 1 species